rnacentral:rRNA from 1 species
UACGUAGGUGGCAAGCGUUAUCCGGAAUUAUUGGGCGUAAAGCGCGCGUAGGCGGUUUUUUAAGUCUGAUGUGAAAGCCCACGGCUCAACCGUGGAGGGUCAUUGGAAACUGGAAAACUUGAGUGCACGAGAGGAAAGUGGAAUUCCAUGUGUAGCGGUGAAAUGCGCAGAGAUAUGGAGGAACUCACCAGUGGCGAAGGCGUACUCAACUGGUCUUGGACUGACGCUGAUGUGCGAAAGC